rnacentral:rRNA from 1 species
GGUCAAGCGAAUAAGCGCACACGGUGGAUGCCUUGGCGGUCAGAGGCGAUGAAGGACGUGGCAGCCUGCGAAAAGUAUCGGGGAGCUGGCAACAAGCUUUGAUCCGGUAAUGUCCGAAUGGGGAAACCCACCCGCUUGCGGGUAUCCUGCAGUGAAUACAUAGCUGCUGGAAGCGAACCUGGUGAACUGAAAUAUCUAAGUAACCAGAGGAAAAGAAAUCAACCGAGAUUCCGUAAGUAGCGACGAGCGAACGCGGACUAGCCCUUAAGCUGGAUUGGUUCUAGGAAAACGCUCUGGAAAGAGCGGCCAUAGAAGGUGAUAGCCCUGUAUCUGAAAGGGCCAUUCCAGUGAAGACGAGUAGGGCGGGGCACGUGAAACCCUGUCUGAAUAUGGGGGGACCAUCCUCCAAGGCUAAAUACUACUGACCGACCGAUAGUGAACCAGUACCGUGAGGGAAAGGCGAAAAGAACCCCGGAGAGGGGAGUGAAAUAGAACCUGAAACCGUGUGCGUACAAGCAGUAGGAGCUCCGCAAGGAGUGACUGCGUACCUUUUGUAUAAUGGGUCAGCGACUUACUGUUCGUGGCAAGCUUAACCGUAUAGGGGAGGCGAAGGGAAACCGAGUCUGAUAAGGGCGCAUAGUCGCGGGCAGUAGACCCGAAACCGGGUGAUCUAGUCAUGCCCAGGGUGAAGGUGCGGUAACACGCACUGGAGGCCCGAACCCACUCCCGUUGCAAAGGUAGGGGAUGAGGUGUGAUUAGGAGUGAAAAGCUAAUCGAACCCGGAGAUAGCUGGUUCUCCUCGAAAGCUAUUUAGGUAGCGCCUCAUAUGUAUCCUCUCGGGGGUAGAGCACUGUUAUGGCUAGGGGGUCAUCGCGACUUACCAAACCAUUGCAAACUCCGAAUACCGAGACGGACUGUAUGGGAGACACACGGCGGGUGCUAACGUCCGUCGUGAAAAGGGAAACAACCCAGACCCACAGCUAAGGUCCCAAAUUUUGUGCUAAGUGGAAAACCAUGUGGAAAGGCACAGACAGCCAGGAGGUUGGCUUAGAAGCAGCCACCCUUUAAAGAAAGCGUAAUAGCUCACUGGUCGAGUCGGUCUGCGGGGAAGAUUUAACGGGGCUAAGCACAGAACCGAAGCUUGGGGUGCAUACUUUGUAUGCGCGGUAGAGGAGCGUUCCGUAAGCCGUUGAAGGUGGAUUGAGAAGUCUGCUGGAGGUAUCGGAAGUGCGAAUGCUGACAUGAGUAACGAUAAUGCGGGUGAAAAACCCGCACGCCGAAAGCCCAAGGUUUCCUUGCGCAACGUUAAUCGGCGCAGGGUGAGUCGGCCCCUAAGGCGAGGACGAAAGUCGUAGUCGAUGGGAAGCAGGUUAAUAUUCCUGCACCUCGCGUAAGUGCGAUGGAGGGACGGAGAAGGUUAGGUGUACCAGGCGUUGGUUGUCCUGGGGAAAGGCGGUAGGUUUGGAUCUUUGGCAAAUCCGGGAUCCUCUAAGACCGAGCACCGAGACGAGCCUUUAUGGCGAAGUCACUGAUACCACGCUUCCAGGAAAAGCUCCUAAGCUUCAGCUUACGCAGACCGUACCGUAAACCGACACAGGUGGGUAGGAUGAGAAUUCUCAGGCGCUUGAGAGAACUCGGGUGAAGGAACUAGGCAACAUGGCACCGUAACUUCGGGAGAAGGUGCACCCUUUUUGGUGGCUCGUGCGAGCUAUAGCUGAAGAGGGUCGCAGUAACCAGGCCGCUGCGACUGUUUAUCAAAAACACAGCACUCUGCAAACACGAAAGUGGACGUAUAGGGUGUGACGCCUGCCCGGUGCUGGAAGGUUAAUUGAUGGGGUCAGCCGCAAGGCGAAGCUCUUGAUCGAAGCCCCAGUAAACGGCGGCCGUAACUAUAACGGUCCUAAGGUAGCGAAAUUCCUUGUCGGGUAAGUUCCGACCUGCACGAAUGGCGUAACGACAGCGGCGCUGUCUCCACCCGAGACUCAGUGAAAUUGAAAUCGCUGUGAAGAUGCAGCGUUCCCGUGGCAAGACGGAAAGACCCCGUGAACCUUUACUAUAGCUUUACACUGAACGUUGAGUUCGUCUGUGUAGGAUAGGUGGGAGGCUAUGAAACUGUGGCGCCAGCUGCAGUGGAGCCAUCCUUGAAAUACCACCCUGUCGUGCUUGACGUUCUAACCUAGGCCCAUUAUCUGGGUCGGGGACCGUGUAUGGUGGGUAGUUUGACUGGGGCGGUCUCCUCCUAAAGAGUAACGGAGGAGCUCGAAGGUACGCUCAGCGCGGUCGGACAUCGCGCACUGUGUGCAAAGGCAUAAGCGUGCUUGACUGCAAGAUCGACGGAUCAAGCAGGUAGGAAACUAGGACUUAGUGAUCCGGUGGUUCUGUAUGGAAGGGCCAUCGCUCAACGGAUAAAAGGUACUCCGGGGAUAACAGGCUGAUACCGCCCAAGAGUUCAUAUCGACGGCGGUGUUUGGCACCUCGAUGUCGGCUCAUCACAUCCUGGGGCUGUAGUCGGUCCCAAGGGUAUGGCUGUUCGCCAUUUAAAGUGGUACGCGAGCUGGGUUCAGAACGUCGUGAGACAGUUCGGUCCCUAUCUGCCAUGGGCGUUGGAGAUUUGAGAGGGGCUGCUCCUAGUACGAGAGGACCGGAGUGGACGAACCUCUGGUGUUCCGGUUGUCACGCCAGUGGCAUUGCCGGGUAGCUAUGUUCGGAAGCGAUAACCGCUGAAAGCAUCUAAGCGGGAAGCGCGCCUCAAGAUGAGAUCUCCCGGGGUACAAGCCCCCUGAAGGAACCAUGUAGACUACGUGGUUGAUAGGUCAGGUGUGUAAGUACAGCAAUGUAUUGAGCUAACUGAUACUAAUGAUCCGUGCGGCUUGACCAU